rnacentral:tRNA from 1 species
GCCGGCGUGGCGGAAUGGCAGACGCGGCAGACUCAAAAUCUGUUAAUGGCAACAUUGUGCGGGUUCAAGUCCCGCCGCCGGCA